UACGGGGGGGGUAAGCGUUUUUCGGAAUUACUGGGCGUAAAGGGCUCGUAGGCGGCCAACUAAGUCAGACGUGAAAUCCCUCAGCUUAACUGGGGAACUGCGUCUGAUACUGGAUGGCUUGGAUUCGGGAGAGGAAUGCGGAAUUCCAGGUGUAGCGGUGAAAUGCGUAGAUAUCUGGAGGAACACCGGUGGCGAAGGCGGCAUUCUGGACCGAUAUUGACGCUGAGGAGCGAAAGCCAGGGGAGCAAACGGG
rnacentral:rRNA from 1 species